rnacentral:rRNA from 1 species
AGGGAGGCAAAACCGCGAGGUGGAGCAAAUCCCUAAAAGCCAUCCCAGUUCGGAUCGCAGGCUGCAACCCGCCUGCGUGAAGUUGGAAUCGCUAGUAAUCGCGGAUCAGCAUGCCGCGGUGAAUACGUUCCCGGGCCUUGUACACACCGCCCGUCACACCAUGAGAGUCGGGAACACCCGAAGUCCGUAGCCUAACCGCAAGGGGGGCGCGGCCGAAGGUGGGUUCGAUAAUUGGGGUGAAGUCGUAACAAGGUAGC